ACUGGAACAAUGCAUAGAUAGUAUCACUGCCUGUAUUCUAUUCAAACUGCUAGAGUGGUGGUUUUUGUCAUAGGCUGAGAAGAGAGUGGACAGGCUGUCAAUUAAGUUUAGUUGAAAAUAAUGACGUGCAAAAUGAGUUGCCUUUUCACUCAUUUUAACAAGGGUGUCCUGCAAUAGAUGGUUUCAAGCAUUCCCUCCUCCCCUCCAAUUCCUGAAUGCCUCAGUCUCAGACUGGUAUUUCUACCUUCUGUAAUGUUUGCACAAUGCAUUUCUGUUGUAAAAGAAUCAGAUUUUCUAGCUGGAUUUCAAGGCUGUAAUGUUCAGGCUGAUCUGAACAAAAAAACAAAAAUCUGGAUGCAUCAUGGCAGAUAAAUUUCUGCUAUUGAAUGCAUCUUCUGUAGAGAACGGCAGGAACACGAAGCAGUGCAGCAGAACAUAAAAAUAAAGUUUUCUCAGUAGAGGAAUCUAACCACUUCUUGCAGAAAGUGAGGAUCCUAAAUGAAAGCUGCCAUGGUCAGCACAGAUCCAAAAUCAACAUGCCAGCAGAUGUUUUAGGCUGAGUAACUUAGAUUUUCUUUCGUUGAUAUGUAGGCGAGGGUUGGGUAUACAGAUUCUACGGCACAGAUUUUAGUUGGCCUUUAGCUGUGUAUGUAUAUAAACCCAAGUGAGCAAAUCAUCACGUUGUGUUACGAUAUUCCUUGAUGAUGUGCUGGGAACAGCACAUGGCAGUGGUGCUUUAGAAGCCCACCACAUACCUUGAUGAAACUUCUAGUAGCCUACUGAGACCAUGCACAUUCAUAGGUGUGGAGGCUCUGCAGCUGGGGCUGCUGGAGCAGUGCUCACAGUCUGUGCUCCCCCUGCCUGCCACAACCAGAUGCCUGCUCCCUCUGGCUGCCUGGACUGCCCAGCCUGGGCCCGAGUUCUCAUCAGGAAAGUGACGUGACUGGGAAAUGACUCUGAGGCUGGUGGCUGGGUCCAUGCAGGUGUGCAGGGGGAUGGCUGCCUAGCCACAGGUGAAUCAAAUGUGCAAAUUCCCCUUGCUGGCCUUUCUGAGUCUCACACCUAGCUCAUAUCCCUCAAAGAUCCCCUCCAUCUGCAAUUACAGGCAUGUCCCUGCCUUUGGUUUUUAAUACAGAUCAGUGACAGUGCUACUUAUUUGCCCUGUGCAAGGAGUGAACAAGGGUUUAAUCUGCAUCCUGACAUCAGGCUGGAGUUGGAGAGUUUAUGUAAAGCUUUUCUGCCAUCUUCGGUGCCCAUAGUUUGCAUUAUGGAUGUCAGCAUUUCACAGCAGUCAACACCGAGCCUUUGACAGCACUGAGGCACCUGGGUUCUCCAGCAAGCCAGAACAGCCAGACCUUUGCCUUCCCAUCAAUCCUGAAAACCAGUCAUACCCUCUUCUUAAUUUAAACAAAGGCUUCUGCCCUGUCCAGGCCACUUUUUCCAACUGCAGUGUGGUUAACACGUAUUUGGAAAAAUUCUGCAGCCAGCAUAUGUUUGUCUUCUCACAGUUUCAAAAAUGAUUUUGCUGGAGGAAGGAAGCCUCCCCCUUCAUUGCCCCCUCCAGCUGGAAAAUCACCUCUAAUCUUACUGUCCUUUUUCCUGCUCUGUAUCCUGCCAAUUAAAACUGGGUCCUGUUAUUAACUGCAAAUAAUGUGGCUAAGCCUUUGGUAGUUUUUCUGUUUUGUUUUGUUUGUUUUUGUUUUUUGUUUAAUAGUUUCAUUCUCAUUCUGCCCAUGAACCUGGGUUUGGCUUGUAGUUUGCAUCUCAUGAUCAGCUCAGCCCUCUCUCAUUUCAGCCUCAGUUCUUGCUUGCUCUCCGCUUUCCUCCUGCUCAGCCAGGCAUCUGCCAUGUCAUUUUGUUCCUGCUGUUUUCACAUGUGAUGGGUGUAUGGACUCAUUUCCCAUUGCACUGGACACAUUUUAAUCCUGCUGGGUACUUGGAGGGGCCUGUGUCCAUUCCCCCAUGUACUGCAUGAUGAGGACAUAUGCAUAUGCCACCUGGCUGAGCUGGAGCAUUGUUUGCUUGUUUUGGCUUUGGGGAUUUGUAUUCCUACA